rnacentral:rRNA from 1 species
GUACUUAGAACCACCAGGCGCGAACGGUGCAGUAGUGACCCUCAGCAAGCCCUCCUUCUGUUUCAGUGGGCUUGGUGAGGGAGCAAGGGGAGGAGGGUAAGGAGGGUGAGAGAAUAGGUGUGAUGUGUUGUGGUCUACGGUCGCAACCCGUCCGUCCCCGCCACCGCUUCCGGAGGCUGCCAGCCUCGUCCAGCGGCCCGUACCCCUACCACUCGCCGUACCGAUCCGAGGUCGCUGGCGUAGGGGUGGUACCUGCCGGCCGGGGCUUGAGGAAGCUGCGGCGUAGGACAGGAAGCUGCGGCGUAGGGACGGUACCUGCCAGCCGGGGAGUUUAGGAGGCUGCGGCGUAGGAACGUCCAGUAGGUUGCAACGUAGGGGACGGUACCUGCCGGCCGGGGUUUGAGGAGGCGGACCCUGAAGCCCAUCCGCCCUACCCGAGCUCCGGCGCCAACACCGGCCUCCUCUAGGCCACCACGGAGCCACCAUCGCCGUCGCUCCCGCACCGUGACCGAUAUACCCCGUGAGGUACGCCCUAGGAAGGGCUCUCGCUCCCCGACGAAUCCGAGAAGCCGACCGGGGCGGCGAGUACCUCGGCGGGCGGAGGCUCAGGAACCACCGUGAGGGGGACGUAGUGAAAGCCGUCGCCGCCCCUGCCGCCCCUGCCGCCCAGCGACGGACGACCGCCACUACACCGCAUGGAGCUACUGCCCGGCUGCUCCUGGGCUCGGCGGUACGGUAAGUUCGGGAGAAGCCGACGAGGCUGGCGGAGCUGGUUCGCCAGUACCAGCGCCGCCGGCGGCUGGUCCACUAGCGCGAACAGCAGAUGUAGAUCGAGAACUCGCACCGGUAGUUGAGCGAGAGUACCAGUGGUCGAUAGACUUGGUAGUUCGUCCUUUUUCCGGCCCGGGUCAACCACCCCCCUACUACCUCCACACAUCGCCGUCCCUCGCAGCGACCGCACGCUCUAAACUACGCGUACUUCCCGACGUCGACCCUCGCCGUCGUCGCCGCUGACGGGGAGGCUGACUCGAUAAGUUGCGGCGUCACCCCCGGAUGGAGCUGCUGCUGCUGCUUGCCCGGUCACGGUUCCCGUUCUGGCUGCACGUCAUGUAGUAGGAGCUGUCCCACGUCGGUAGUCGUCGUAGCAGUCCUCCCCGUACGACCUACUCGAGUUCUUCUGGGACCAGUCCUCCUCGUAAGUCCAUUCUUGUCUCGUUGUGUUUAACAGUACAAAGAUUCCCUUUAUCUCGUACGAAACACUAUACUUGUUACCGACUAAGUAGCAAAACAUUUAGAUUUGAAAAGGUCGUUUGAACGCUCUUUAAAUAUAAGUGUACCGUGUACCUUUAAAUAUAAGUCUACUAUACCGAUGAAGUAUAAUCCCUCUUUAAAAGCUCACCUCUCGUAUAAUUCAAUGGUAGGCAAAAAAAAACUGUAUGGUUUAACUACAACCUUGGCAUACGUAACCAUUACAAUUAAUUAACGGUACCGUUUUUAUGAAAAAUUAUUUCAGCGGUAGUCAAAAUAUAAGUCAUUUACUACCCGUACCGUUGAUACAUAAUAAGACAUCCUUCAAGUAGCUUAAGUAAGUAUUGAACCGUUUAAAUAUAUAUCAAACAUACCGUUUAAGUGAAGGUGUAAUACAAAGGUGUUGUACCGUUAAAACAUAUAAAGUUAAAAGCAUUAUAGGUGUAUCGCUACCCGUCCACAUUACCCGACGUGGCUAAGUCUACUGGUACUCUCCCUCCGUUUAAAUCAAAUAACUGGUACUGUUCAAAGUAAUUAACUGGUACCGUUCAAAAUAAUUGACUGGUACCGUUUUAAAAUUCAAAAAAAGCUGGUACCGUUUAAAUCAAACAACUGGUACCGUUCAAAAUAAUUAGCCGGUACCUUUUAAAGUUCAGGCUGGUACCGGUCAAAUCAUUAACUGGUACCGCUUAAAUCAAAUAUCUGGUACCGUUCAAAAUAAUUAACUGGUACCGUUCAAAAUUCAGGAAAAAGCUGGUACCUUUUAAAUCAUUAACUGGUACCGUUUAAUAAAAAACCAUCUAGUACCGUUUAAAUAAUUAACAAUUCUUGUAGGUGUAGAAGACAGUACGGGAAAAACCGUUAAAAAAGAGGUAAAAACGGUACCGUUUUUAUGAAGAUAAGUGUGCCGUUUGAAAUCACAUUCAACGGUACCUUUAAAAAUCAAAUUCAACGGUACCGUUUAAAUAACAUUUCUCGUACCGUUGAAAACAAAAUUUAUACUACCGUUUAAAUGUAAAAGAUCUUGUACCGUUAAAAUUGAUGCAUCGUGCCAUUUAUAUAAACAUAUCGGUACCGUAAAAAAUUUAAAUAAAGGUACCGUUUUCAUGAGGUAAAAACGGUACCUUUAUUAAAUAAAUAAAAAAGGUACAGUUUUAUCAAAGAUAAAAGUGUACCGUUUAAAAAUCAAAAUCAACGGUAACGUUUAAAAUAAAAAUCAACGGUACUGUUUAAAUAACAUUCCUGGUACCGUUAAAAUUAAAUUUAUAAUACCGUUUAAAUGUAAAAUAUCUUGUACCAUUUAAAAUGAUACAUCGUAGAAUUUAUAUAAACAC